UCGAAAAAAAUGCGCGAAGAUAUAAAUUGUAAUAGUAAACCAAACCGAAAGCAAAUGUAUGCUAUCAAACUAAAAUCCAUGCUUUUUCAAUCUAUACCACGUUUUCCCCUCAAAGCUAAGCACUUCUCUUCUUCAGCUCCUUCUUCGUCUCCGAUUACACCAUGGUCCGGUCUGCAAUUCUGGCGAGACGGUCCACUCAAUAAAAACCGUUUCUGGGGACCUAAUGGCCCACAACCACCACCGCCGCCACCAAUUCACAGCGGCGACAAUGAACUAGAACUGGGUUCCGCUUCCUCUCUUGCUGAACUCGGCGCUCUUGUUCUCUCUACUAGUGAUCCCCUGCAAAAAUCCAAGCUUUCUCAUCUUGCUUUCUCCACAUGGCGCAACCACAAGCUUCCCAUUGGGUCUUGUGUUCCUCCUUCUAGACCCGCUCGUCCCCCUAAACCCCAAUUGGUGUCUCCAAAGGAAAUUCCGAAUCCCAAAGAUUCUGGUUUACCUCUCAAUGCUUAUAUGCUCCACAAUCUUGCUCAUGUGGAGCUUAAUGCAAUUGAUUUGGCAUGGGACACAAUUGUUCGGUUUUCGCCUUUUUGUGGGAUUUUGGGAGAAGGAUUCUUUGCUGACUUUGCUCAUGUUGCUGAUGAUGAGAGCCGCCAUUUUGCUUGGUGCUCUCAAAGACUUGCUGAGCUAGGUUUCAAGUACGGAGAUAUGCCUGCUCAUAAUUUGCUAUGGAGGGAAUGUGAAAAAUCGUCUGACAAUGUUGCUGCACGAUUGGCAGUUAUUCCGCUAGUCCAGGAGGCUAGAGGACUAGAUGCUGGGCCAAGGCUUGUGCAAAAAUUGAUUGGUUUUGGAGACUCCAGGACAUCUAAAAUUGUGGCUCGAAUUGCUGACGAAGAAGUUGCACAUGUAGCUGUUGGUGUCUAUUGGUUCGUAUCUGUCUGCCAGAAAUUGGGCCGUCCUCCUUGUUCCACUUUUAAAGACAUAUUGAGAGAGUACAAUGUGGAGGUGAAAGGGCCUUUCAAUCAUUCAGCAAGAGAAGAAGCAGGGAUUCCCCGUGACUGGUACGACACCUCAUUUACAAAUAAUAAAGUCGAGAAUGAAAAACAAGGCACAAAUGAGCAGCUCUCUGUGGUUUAUGAUCGACUUGCUUCUAUCAUCGCCAUGGAGUGUGAAAAUGCAAGUUUGAUUAAGCCCCCGGGUUGAUGCUUACUUAAAAUCUGACAGCUUAAACUCGACAGAUAAGCAGAUGGUCUGUAAAUAUGAAUCUGUGCUGAUAUUGGGGGCGGAACAGGUGACCUGGAAAACUUGGUUUCGUAUACAUCUCAACGAACAGUUGGCAUAAUAAGAGGUAUGAAACUGCAACAUUGCUUCAUCACUUUAUCUUGAGGAUUGACGAUAUCUGGUGACUUCUUGUACAUGCAUCUCUUUAACUUUCAAUCAACUUCCGUGAACACGAUAAAAUGAAAAAUCCUAGAUAGAGCUGCUGAAUCAGUAAAUGGAGUGCUAUCGCAUAGUUUUAAACCGCCAAGUUCAUGAGUUGGAGUUAAAUGGAUUCGAGCAGCUGACUCUUGGACUCAAAGGAGAUGUGUAGCAACCACUCUAUUUUUGUAUGUGAGGUGAAUGAGUAGACUUCCUGUUUUCUUUUGAUGAAGAAUGAUGAGGCAUAUUAGGUCCUUGCAUUUGUCCUACUUUUGAUAUCGGAUCCCUACACUUCUACUUGUCAAUAUUGAGUUUUUAUACUUUUAGUAUUGUAAA